CGGAUCCAUUGUUCUCCAGCAGGGUGUUGUCCCAGGGACACUGCCAAACCAGUGGGAACUGGUUUGCCAGGAAAAAUCAUGCUUACAAGUGAAAACAAAGGACUUCGACCUAACCGUUAAACCCCUGAACCUAUUCAAGUGAAUUUUGGAUAUGUUUGUCCCCAAGUUAUACUGGUUAAAAUAAUAUAAGUUUUAUGUAUGUACGAUGUUAACUCACAAAGUUAUAAAAAUGUACAAAAAGUAACUUUUCAGCUUGGAGAUAAUUGAGUAGAUACAGUAAUUGACUCAAUUAUCUCCUAAGCAGAAGGGAGGAAUAUGCUGGGUGUGUUUCUAUUUUCCCAUUGUGUCUGAUUGGCUGCUGUACUUGCAUUGUAUGUGUUGUAAUGUGUUUAUUGG